CACGUAGGAGGCAAACGUUAUCCGGAUUUACUUGGCGUAAAGCGCGUGUAGGUGGUUCUGUAAGUAGGGCGUGAAAGCUCCUGGCUCAACUGGGAGAGGCCGUUCUAAACUGCAGAGCUAGAGGAUGGUAGAGGGAGGUGGAAUUCCAGGUGUAGCGGUGGAAUGCGCAGAUAUCCGGAGGAACACCAGUGGCGAAGGCGACCUCCUGGGCCAUUCCUGACGCUCAGACGCGAAAGCUAGGGUAGCGAACGGGAUUAGAUACCCCUGUAGUCCCU
rnacentral:rRNA from 1 species